AGCGAACGCUGGCGGCAGGCCUAACACAUGCAAGUCGAACGAAGUCUUCGGACUUAGUGGCGGACGGGUGAGUAACACGUGGGAACGUGCCUUUAGGUUCGGAAUAACUCAGGGAAACUUGUGCUAAUACCGAAUGUGCCCUUCGGGGGAAAGAUUUAUCGCCUUUAGAGCGGCCCGCGUCUGAUUAGCUAGUUGGUGAGGUAAAGGCUCACCAAGGCGACGAUCAGUUGCUGGUCUGAGAGGAUGAUCAGCCACAUUGGGACUGAGACACGGCCCAAACUCCUACGGGAGGCAGCAGUGGGGAAUCUUGCGCAAUGGGCGAAAGCCUGACGCAGCCAUGCCGCGUGAAUGAUGAAGGUCUUAGGAUUGUAAAAUUCUUUCACCGGGGACGAUAAUGACGGUACCCGGAGAAGAAGCCCCGGCUAACUUCGUGCCAGCCGCCGCCGUAAAAC
rnacentral:rRNA from 1 species